ACAUUCUUUGCCAAACUGUCCGGAUGUCUAUUACUUAUAGUCAAUCCUUUGGGGUACGAUCUUAUUCUUUGUCGGACCAUUUGGCCAAUCAUUUGACAUUCUUCUGUUAUUCAGUCUCACCUUUGAUUAGACCGUCCGGUCACUUAUUUAAAUUCUUGAUACACAGUUUCUCGUUUCGGUUAGACCGUUCGGUCACUAUUAAUUCAAUCUUUGGUAUUUAGUUCUGUUCAUUGCCGGACCAUUCGGUCAAACCUUCUUGUCUUACUCAAUCUCUUAUUCUAUCUUUGAUUCACCCGGUCC
rnacentral:lncRNA from 1 species